rnacentral:rRNA from 1 species
GGUUGUACACGUUAAAACUGGUUGGUGGUUUAUUAAAAUAGGGGGUUCAUAAUAACUUUGCGUAAAGAAUUUGGCAAGUAACUUGUAUAACUUAGGGAUAACAAUGGUGUUAAUCGGGCGACUGUAUAGCAAAUACACAGGGUUUAGUUAAAGAUGUUUAUAUUUUAGAGCUGAUAUGUGACCAGUAUUUAUUCAAACAAACGUUGGCCGUAACAAUAACGGUCCCAAGGUAGCAAAUUUCCUUGUCGUUUAAGUAACGACCUGCAUGAAGGAUGGAACGAUUCGAUAGCUGUCUUGCGUACAUGUGCUGGUGAAAUAUUAGGUUGUGUGAAGAUACGGUAACAAUGUUUAGGGACAAAAAGACCCAAUGAAGCUUUAUAGGGAUUAAAUUUAGUACAGGUUCUAUAUUGGUAUAUCUUCAUUUCAAGGGAAAACAGAUGCAUGGUAUACCAUUCAUUGAGAAUAUUGGGCAUAUUAUGGUCAAGGAGGUUAGCAUUUCAGUGUUAGAUGGGCUGUUUCAUUGGGGAGAUGACCUUCUUUAAUCGAACUAAAGGUUCACAAAGCUAUUGAUGUGGGCUUUGAUAAAGGACUAGUAAGUGCAAAGAUAGAUGUGUGGCUUAAUGGUCAAGCGUUUGAUCCAGUAUUUAAAUGGUGUCUUAGUGACCUUAAAAUUAAUUUAUCAAAUAAAAGCUACUCUAGGGAUAACAGGCUUAAUUUUUUGGAUAGCUCACAUUAACAAAAUGGUUUUGCACCUCGAUGUCGGCUUAUCUUUUCCAAAUGGAAAGCAAUCAAUCAGGAGUGGGAGUGCUCAUCCCAUAACAAGGUACGUGAGCUGGGUUCAGAACGAUGUAAAUCAGUUUGGUCUAUAUCUGUAACUUUAAAUGCAAUGAAUAGUAGUGUUGUUUGCUCAGUACGCAAGGACCGGCAA